GUUAAUAUGAAUUAAUAUCACGUUUAGCUACAUCUAUUUUUGUUGUUGUAGCCACAUUUGCCUGAAGACGCAGCAAUCCUCGCCAAGCUCCUGCUUGCCAGCCGAAACAGAUGUAACGGCAUAGCUCUGAGUCCCACACAGGCAGGAACCUUGAGCCCCGAUCUGUAUGGGGUUCACAGUUAACACAAGAAACAGGUGCAGCGACUUCGGAAAAUCGGGGGAGAGUCUCAGUGAAAGGACGGUCGGCACCGGCACUUGCCUAAAUACAAAAAAGAAAAUGGGGAGAAAUUGAAAAACAAACACGUAUACCAUGCAACAUUUUUAAGGAAAUAAUAUAAUUUUGUAUCAAGGAGACAAGAUACUUCAAAUAUGAGGAUGAAUUUUACGAGCAGCUUAAGAACAUGCCUAUGGGUUCCCCAGCAUCACCCAUGAUCGCCGAUAUUAUUAUGGAAGACCUACCUGACAACGUAGCAGAGAGAAUAGCAAACCAAAGAUAAUAACAAUAUAUGUGGAUGAUAUCUUCGCAGUCGUAAGGAAAUCGGAUGUCGACCAUACUUUAGAAGCUCUAAAUGCUUACCACCGACAAAUACAGUUCACUCUAAAGAGGAGGAACUAGAAAAUAAACUACCAUACCUUGACUGUAUGGUACAUAGACGAAAUAACGUACUGAAAGUUGAUUGGUACAAAAAAUCGACCGCUUCGGGAUGACUUAUCAAUUUUCAAUCUAAACACCACAGACGAAUAAAAACUAAUACCACGACAAAUUUUAUCAAGAGAAACGAGGGAAGAAUAAAAGCCAUUUUAAAAGCCAAUGAUUUUCCCAGUCACACCAUAAGACAAUUGAUAUGCAAAGCCAAACAAAGCUAUGGAGACGAUUCGAAAAGGCCUAAAGAUUCAGAAGGAAAAAUAUACAAAACGGUAUCAUAUGUAGAAGGCUUCUCGGAGAGACUUAGCAAGUCCAAUAUCUACGAUAAGGAGAAGUAUCAGUUAGUCUGGAAGACAAGCUGGACCGUCAAUCAGCUAUUCAGCAUGACCAAGUUCAAAAUCGAAAAAGGGGACAAAUCGAAUAUAUUGUAUAAAAUUAAAUGCAAUUGGGACAAGACCAAAAUAUGACAUAAUUGAAAACUGGACCCUCUUCACACAAGUCCAAGAUCAAAAAGCUGUAAAUAAACCGCUAGGGCAGAAAACCGCCCCUGCUGUGCCCAAACUGGCCAAAAACCGAACUUCAAAGACCUAAAGAUUCUCACUCAGGAGAAUCAUUACAAUUGCAGAUUCACUCUUGAGAUGCUGCACAUUAUUGGCAUUUCUCCUGACGAGAAAAUAAAUUACAAGAUAUAUGUUGAGAGUCAGUUGACAACCGAUAGUGAGACGAAAAGCAGAACAUCGAAUGUAACUCCUCAGUCAAUGUAAACAUUUUUUGUCAAUGAAUGAAAUCAGCAAGU